ACUCGGCCCAUUCCAAGUCCCACCUUGCGUACGUGAGCCAAACGCUCCUGGUCCUGGCAGUCUCCAUCUCCACCUAGGGUUCCGGCGAUGGUGCACGGCGGCUACCCGCGCCGCGACGCCGCCGUCCGCCGGCCCAAGUCCUCGUCCUCCGCCGUAGUUGCCGACCGCAAGCGGAAGUGGACCGCCGCCGCCAAGAACACCUCACUUAAAAACCAGAUCCGUUCCACUGAGCGCUUUCUCCACAAGGUACUUACCGACACCUGGGGGCUGGGGUCUUCUCGACUGAGCUCGGAACCUCUAGUUUAGCGUUGUUCCUACCCAGUGGAUGGGCUUUGGCUGUUGCUUGUGGAGCGCUGGGUGUUUCUCUAGGAACCUCUCCAUUUUCUAGUUGAUUGGGAAGCUUCCCCGAACGUAGCUAGGAAUUUUAGCACGAAAGUCUUUCUACAAUGAUGAAUUGUUCAACCACAAAUAUUUAUUUACUUGUUGCUUCUGUAGGGGGCUAGGGGCAAAUUGAUGCUUCAACUGAGGCCUCUGUUUGUUGCAUUCCGCUCAGUAGCCUAAUUCAUGGUGUAGCUGGAUUACUGCAGCUUGCAUAGGUGAUUAGGUGCUAUUAAGUAUCAAGUAUUGAUUGAAAAACUAUCAGACUGAAAUGUUAACUAUGUUGCUCAAACGGUUAGUCAGAAAUGCUGUGAAAGGGCAUUUGUUCUUGUCAGAGGAGAAGUGACGAAGCCUAAUUGACCUUGUGUUGGUGAAGAUAUUCACUCAAACAUCAAAAUCAUAAUAACAAGUUUGAUUGAAUAUCGAUUUCAUGCCCAUGAAUAGUACAUGUCAGGGGGUAUUUAUAGAGGUCCUUGCUUUCGUAAUUGCUUAUACAAAGUCUAAAAUACCCCUAACUUGUUAGAUUACAAUUGUUCGUCCGCGCAAGGACAGUUUGGUCAUUUGUCCUCUCUGUUGGGGGCCUUCGUCCUCCGAAGGUCCUCAAAAACAUGAUUUGACAAUGUUUUCCAAGUGGAUUAUGUGAACAGGUACCUUCGGACUCAGAAUUACGAACAUGAAGUGCGGUCAGGACGAAGCCUGAACCAGACGAAGGACGGGCUGAUUACCAAGCUCCA